AUUGAACGCUGGCGGCAGGCUUAACACAUGCAAGUCGAGCGGGGGAAGGUAGCUUGCUACCGGACCUAGCGGCGGACGGGUGAGUAAUGCUUAGGAAUCUGCCUAUUAGUGGGGGACAACAUCUCGAAAGGGAUGCUAAUACCGCAUACGUCCUACGGGAGAAAGCAGGGGAUCUUCGGACCUUGCGCUAAUAGGUGAGCCUAAGUCGGAUGAGCUAGUUGGUGGGGUAAAGGCCUACCAAGGCGACGAUCUGAAGCGGGUCUGAGAGGAUGAUCCGCCACACUGGGACUGAGACACGGCCCAGACUCCUACGGGAGGCAGCAGUGGGGAAUAUUGGACAAUGGGGGGAACCCUGAUCCAGCCAUGCCGCGUGUGUGAAGAAGGCCUUAUGGUUGUAAAGCACUUUAAGCGAGGAGGAGGCUACUCUAGUUAAUACCUAGGGAUAGUGGACGUUACUCGCAGAAUAAGCACCGGCUAACUCUGUGCCAGCCGCCGCGGUAA
rnacentral:rRNA from 1 species